rnacentral:rRNA from 1 species
CCCGCCGGCGACCGGCGCACGGGUGAGUAACACGUAUGAAACCUGCCCGUAGCAGGGGGAUAAGCGGAAGAAAUUCCGUCUAAUACCGCGUAACAACCCGAGGAGGCAUCUCCUCGGGUUUAAAGGAAGCGAUCCCGGCUACGGAUGGUCAUGCGUCGCAUUAGCUAGUUGGCGGGGUAACGGCCCACCAAGGCGACGAUGCGUAGGGGUUCUGAGAGGAAGGUCCCCCACACUGGGACUGAGACACGGCCCAGACUCCUACGGAAGGCAGCAG